GCCGGGGCUGGAAGGAGGGAGGGAACGGAAUAGCGGCAGGGGAGGGUGCUACAGCCCGGGAGGAGGCAGCCUGAGGCCGCCCCCGCUGCAGAAAGUUGGGCUGGAGUCUUUAACUGGCAUCCUAGAAGAGCCUCUCAGACAACUGAAGAGAAUUUCAACACCAUAUUGAAAUGAAGAAGAAAAUGGCAAGAUUUUCAGCUGCAAAGCAAAUCUUUUCCAAAGAAUCACUAGGUUCCAUCAAAUGAAUGACACAGGAAAAAUAUUAGAGGUGACCAGUGUUUGAAAGCAGAAUAUGUAUAAAAAGAUGUUUAUAUGUGCAAUUUUUUCCUGUUUUAAACCAGUGUACUUGUCUGUAUUGAGUUCGGCACUGUUUUCAGAGAUUCACUCUGAAAGACUAUAAUAAGACAUGAGUAGAUGCAUUUUCAUUUAAUUAACAGACUUUGUUUUCAGAGAGAUGAGGUUCUAUGCAGUAUAUUUUCUUCAGAAUGUGACUUUCUUCCAUUGACCUUGUGCAUGCAUCUGUUAGGAGAAAUGGAAGUUUGUAUUUCUGAAAACCAGGUGAUUUACAGCUCUGUAACUCAGGUGAAGAAAUUUCUCUGCAUUCUGGUGAUUCUCUGAGUUAUGCACUUGAUCCUUAGGCAACAUUUCUGUAAAAGGUUCUAUUACUUGGCAUUACAUGACCAUCCUAAAGAAGUGACAGAACCACACAAAACACUCCAGGAGCCCAGAUCUCUCAGAACCAGACUGAUUUACCCUGAAUCUUGCUUAUCUUCUAACAGUGCAAUGAAGAGAACCUCAUUAUUAAUUAUUAGGAAGCAUUUAACCCUUUAUAGGUAUCUUCUAAGGAAAGUUCACUACAUUUCUUCACAGUUGCCCUGCAUAAAUAUCCUCCUCCUCUAAUCAAGUCAGUGCUACUGAGGUGCUCAGAACUGAAAUGGAGAUUGCACUUGUUCUGUCAUUUUCAGAAAUUUGCUUUGUUGUGUGAGUGGAGCUGAUGAAGUUCAAUAGGUGUCUUGUGCUCUCCGUGGUUUGCACUGCUGUGAUUGUGAAUGGGGAGCAAAGUGAUGAGGUAACUUAAUGAUUCAUUGUUCAUUUUGUAGUUAUUAAUGGGAUCAACAUCCGGCAUCUCGAGGCUCCAAACUUGUUUGGUUUCUGCCAGAUUCCUCAUUAUGCACAGUGCAGACCAGGAAGGUUUUCCCAU